rnacentral:tmRNA from 1 species
CCUCUUGCAAAACUGCCCCGUGCUCCUUAUGUUCAUCAGUGCCGGAGGGGCUUGCUCCUUGGCUAUGGUGAUAAACGGAACGUGGAAUAAUCGUUGUGGACCCGGGGGCAGUACCCGGCGUCUCCACCAUUUUCAAUCCGGCCUUACGGCCCGGACGGAUGGGGACGAAACAGGCUCGACACGCGAGGUAAAGACCUUCCUUUGCCCGGCAUUGUACCGCCGUUAUCGGGCUAAACUUACAAGUGCCAAUGAUAACACUGAGGUGCUCGCUGUCGCUGCAUAAGCGAUAAGCGCGGUUCGGGAGGGCACCGGGCAACAGAAGCCCUCCCACU